AUAAAUAUAUAAAUAAGAGAUAUAUAUGGAUGCAAUUUGAAAGUGAACAGCUUCGAGCUAGGGGUUAAACCAUACCUGCAAUGUCUUUGUUGAUGGUUGGAUUUUCUUCAGAAUAAUGAAGCUGGCAUUGGAGGUGUCCCAGAGCAUCCAAAGUCUUGCAGUUUCCUUGGUUUGUGUAAAAGAUUUGGAGAUUGUUUCGUCUUGUAGUGAUUGUAAUGAUGUUUGUGGAAGUCGAUCAUGUAUCUGCUAUUAAUGGGCAUCUUCCUUUUUGAAAACUUUGACUGAGUUUUAAUUGUAGAUUUGAUGUUUAUUUCAUUUGUAGUUGAGAAUGAGUUGUUGUGGUUUAGUUCCAAAUUUGUGUGAAUCGUUUGUCAUUUGCUUAGUAAAUAUUUUAAAAUAUAAUGUACUAUCAUUGUGAUUGAUUUUGUUUAGACGAUAUAAAGAAAUGGUUGAUGUGUU